GGAGCUGUAGCUCGGUGGUAGAGGGCUUACCUAGCAUGUGUGAGGCCCUGAGUUCUAUUCUCAGCACCA
rnacentral:tRNA from 1 species